CUAAUACCGGAUAUGACCAUCAUUGGGCAUCCUUGAUGGUGUAAAGCUCCGGCGGUGCAGGAUGAGCCCGCGGCCUAUCAGCUUGUUGGUGAGGUAAUGGCUCACCAAGGCGACGACGGGUAGCCGGCCUGAGAGGGCGACCGGCCACACUGGGACUGAGACACGGCCCAGACUCCUACGGGAGGCAGCAGUGGGGAAUAUUGCACAAUGGGCGAAAGCCUGAUGCAGCGACGCCGCGUGAGGGAUGACGGCCUUCGGGUUGUAAACCUCUUUCAGCAGGGAAGAAGCGAAAGUGACGGUACCUGCAGAAGAAGCGCCGGCUAACUACGUGCCAGCAGCCGCGGUAAUACGUAGGGCGCAAGCGUUGUCCGGAAUUAUUGGGCGUAAAGAGCUCGUAGGCGGCUUGUCACGUCGAUUGUGAAAGCUCGGGGCUUAACCCCGAGUCUGCAGUCGAUACGGGCUAGCUAGAGUGUGGUAGGGGAGAUCGGAAUUCCUGGUGUAGCGGUGAAAUGCGCAGAUAUCAGGAGGAACACCGGUGGCGAAGGCGGAUCUCUGGGCCAUUACUGACGCUGAGGAGCGAAAGCGUGGGGAGCGAACAGGAUUAGAUACCCUGGUAGUCCACGCCGUAAACGGUGGGAACUAGGUGUUGGCGACAUUCCACGUCGUCGGUGCCGCAGCUAACGCAUUAAGUUCCCCGCCUGGGGAGUACGGCCGCAAGGCUAAAACUCAAAGGAAUUGACGGGGGCCCCGCACAAGCGGC
rnacentral:rRNA from 1 species